GAACGCGGCGCACUACGAUUAGUGCAAACUUUAUAUGUACAUGCACGUCUGAGAAUGAAGGGAAUAGAUAUAAGCGGUGUGUGGUUAAUUCCAUUGUACAUGUAGUCUGGCAGAUCGCUUGUGACGCAGUUUUCACCGACUCCUUUCUAUUGCCGGAAGUGCAUUUUAUUAUCAAUGGUAUAUAUUGUUUUUUCAAGAAAUCAUGCCUUAUUUACCUCUUGCCGUCAAUCCCAGCGAUUAGCACUACAUCGCAGAGCUGAUGACUAUCCAAAUAUAACUGUAAACGUUUUAAAACACUUUCCGCAUGAUCACGGCAUCGAAAAUAUUCAUCUUGGCUUACAGCAGAUGUGAGGCUGCCCAAACUGUAGUCGCGGGUAAGAGAAUCUCCAUCGGCCAGAAGUGAUAUUGGCGCCGAAGAAGAUGUCAUGGAGUCACGGCUAGGGCUAUCUUUGUUAGUAGACAUUAUCGUUACGUAUUGUAGUUAUUACUCCAAAAUAAUUCAAUUUAUGUUUCUCUAAGCGUAUGUAAUUAUUACCAAGAUGCCUUGAAAUUUAACUUUCAUUAAAUGCAGUUAAUUUAUAAUUGUA